CAGACUAUUUCAGUUUAUUGAAGUGGCAUGGGUGCAUUGCCCCAUGUCCCCUUAACUCUGCAAUGGUAUUGAGAAGCUACAAUAAUCACCUUGCAGGGUUAACUCCACCUCUAGUGGCUGUCUACCAGGUCAUGGUCGUUAGACGACUUUUAGUGAGGACAUCCAGCGUCCGCUAAAACCCCAUGCACAUUAGGUCGAUUCAGAUGGAUUCAGCUAAGUAAAUUAGGGGUUUUAACUCUGUCAGCAGAGGGGAGUAAGCAGGCUAGAGUUCACUCUCACCACCAGAACCAUCAAAGCAAUGAAAGAAAGCAAUGUCUCCUCCUCCCUCAGCAAAGGUAAGAAGGGAGGGGGGACAUGAACUAUAUUUGAGUAAUUAUUUAAUAAUUUAACAAAUAUAUCUUUAAUCU